CAGUUCUUCUCAGGAGACCUUCAGUGUGACCUAUGAUACAUCAUCAUCUUGUACCAAUCCUGCACAUCAAGUCCUCUUCUUCUGAGGCAGGGAACUUCAGGGUAUGUGAAUGUCUCCCGCUGGAGGACUCUGCAAGAUGGAGCACAAGUUUCAGGCCAGCUAGCAAACAAAUGUCCUACUUCAAGAACUUGAGAAGACGGCUCUGCCGGCGGCUGCCGCCGCUCCUCCUCGCUCCUCGGCGCGGAGCCGGGCGGGCAGCGGGGCCGCCCCUCCGUGACCGGCACCUGCGAGCGCCCGUCAGCGCGCGGCCGGGCGGCGGCGGAUCCCCGAGUCCCGGGGGCGCGGCGCGGGGCCGC
rnacentral:lncRNA from 1 species